rnacentral:lncRNA from 1 species
UAGCAGUUACUUUAUGACCGGUCCCUUAGUUUAAUCCUUGGUUAACCUAAAAUUCGAAGCAAACUUCCUGACAGCUUGUCUAUAAAUUUGGAAAUAUUUCUUCAGAGAUCUUGUCUGGAUCGAUAGGAGUUUACUUCUCUGAAGUUUUGAAAUAAACAGACGUGCAGAAAUACACAAACUAGAACAGCAGGUUAAAUUUUAACCCAGGUUUAGCGUUAACCCACCUUUGAAC